rfam:Triticum aestivum genome assembly, contig: Triticum_aestivum_CS42_TGACv1_scaffold_349811_4DL
CAACUACUCCCUUUGUCCCAAAUUUCUUGUCUUCGAUUUGUCUAGAUACGGAUGUAUCUAAUACUAAAAUGUGACUUGAUACAUCCGUAUCUAGACAAAUCUAAGACAAGAAUUUUGGGACGGAGGGAGUACUUU